GUUAGAUAGAAAAUGGAACCUCGGCACUCCGGUGAUCACCUGAGACAAGGUCCGACGAGAGGAGGAGGCACACACAGGUUUUCCCGACGCUCGAACACCUGUGCAGCCAGAACGGCGCGCUCUCUGUAUUACUGGCAAGCUCGAACUCGCCCUGCCUCUCCCAGCCUUACAACGACACCCACACGGGUUCUUAUACCCAGGCCCAGCGCCGGCAACAACCUUGCGCUCCCGCCUCCCCACGCGGACGAACUGCUCCCGCUCUAACCGCGGCCACCUCGCGCACGCCUGCGCGCUGAUGGCGUCGAGCCAGCUCGAUCGCCCGCCGUAGACUCCCGGUCCAAGUCGCGAUCCUAAAACUACGGUGAGCCACACGCACGCACCCACGCACGCCCUAGCAGAACGCAACACACGCACGCACCCUGCCACGAAUCCGUCGUGGCCCGUGCACGCGCACAUGCGCUCCUCCGCCGCGGUCCGACGCGCCCGACACAUCGAGCUCGUGCCCAUACACGCGCUGGACGUGUCCAACGCCUCGCCGCGGCUUAUUGACCCCAACAAUCUCGCCCUAAGACGCGGCUCAGAGCAGGCCGGCAUCCUCGACGUCGCCGUCGACCAGCAGUGCAUGCUCCGCCACCGGCGCCUUCUUCCACUGCGGGCACUCGCGUUUGAAGUGCCCGCGUUCACCGCACUUGUAGCAGCGGCCGCGCCGUUUCCCGCCGAAGCCCGACGCCUCGCUGCGCGCCCCGUCGUCGUCGUCAUCUCCAUGCGCACCGCCCCGACGCCGCUCGCGCCCACGCCACUGUGCCAUGAUCAGCAACAGCUGCUCGCCGCCGCGAUCGCCGCCGUCUUGCCCACGCCUCCGCAGCCUCUCGUCGAAUGCCUUGAGACGACCCAGCGCGUCCUCGAAGAGCAUCUCCGACACGUCGCAAAACUGCUCGAUCCCUGCCACCGCCGCGUACAGGCGGUCCGGCACCGAGUCGAGCAGCUUCUUCACGAGCGCGGAGUCCUCCAGGGUUGAGCCCAGCGCCGCGUACCGCGCUGCCAUGCCUCCAAGCCUGCCGGCGAACGCGUCAAGGGUCUCGGACUCCGCCAUGCGCAGGAGCUCGAACUCCCCCCGAAGUGUGCCGAGCCUCGCCGCACGCACGCGGUCCGCGCCUACGAACCUAGCCCGCAAGCUCGCCCAAAUCUCCGCCGCCGUCUUCUUCGACGCGACUUGCAGCAGCAAAUCGUCGGCGAGCGCUCGCAGCAGAUAGGCGCCCGCCGGUUUGUCCUUCUUCGCGAUCACCGCCGACGCUGCUUCCUCCGGCGGAACCAUCGCCUCCCAGAGCCCGGCAGCGUCGAGGUCCGCCUCCACCUUGAUAGCCCAGGUGGUGUAGUUUUCCCCCGUCAGCAGAGGAACCAACGUCGACAUCGUCGUCCCCGUCCCGCCGGAGUACGGGACCAGCGCCAUGGACGUCGAGCUCCCCGGUCGCGCGUGGCUCUGAUGCCAAAUGUUAGAUAGAAAAUGGAACCUCGGCACUCCGGUGAUCACCUGAGACAAGGUCCGACGAGAGGAGGAGGCACACACAGGUUUUCCCGACGCUCGAACACCUGUGCCGCCAGAACGGCGCGCUCUCUGUAUUACUGGCAAGCUCGAACUCGCCCUGCCUCUCCCAGCCUUACAACGACACCCACACGGGUUCUUAUACCCAGGCCCAG
rnacentral:lncRNA from 1 species